rnacentral:rRNA from 1 species
GAUGAACGCUAGCUACAGGUUUAACACAUGCAAGUCGAGGGGCAGCAUGGUCUUAGCUUGCUAAGGCCGAUGGCGGCCGGCGCACGGGUGAGUAACACGUAUCCAACCUGCCGUCUACUCUUGGACAGCCUUCUGAAAGGAAGAUUAAUACAAGAUGGCAUCAUGAGUUCACAUGUUCACAUGAUUAAAGGUAUUCCGGUAGACGAUGGGGAUGCGUUCCAUUAGAUAGUAGGCGGGGUAACGGCCCACCUAGUCUUCGAUGGAUAGGGGUUCUGAGAGGAAGGUCCCCCACAUUGGAACUGAGACACGGUCCAAACUCCUACGGGAGGCAGCAGUGAGGAAUAUUGGUCAAUGGGCGAGAGCCUGAACCAGCCAAGUAGCGUGAAGGAUGACUGCCCUAUGGGUUGUAAACUUCUUUUAUAAAGGAAUAAAGUCGGGUAUGUAUACCCGUUUGCAUGUACUUUAUGAAUAAGGAUCGGCUAACUCCGUG